UUGAAUUUAUCAUGAAUUUCUGAAUUCGCUUCACUGUUAAGGUAAAUAUCAGUUUCUAACCGAAUUCAGCGAUAAAAUAUCAUAAUCAAUAUGUCUUCAGUCCGAGUGAGAAGUCAUAAAAAAAAAAUUUACCCUAAAAGCUAAGAUAUGAAAGCCUUUAUUAUAACUAUAUAUAAUUAUAACAACUGGGGAUAUUUAGAAUAUUUAGUGGAUAAGGUGUCGGCUGCUAAGUUCAGGGUCGUGGGUUCGAGCCCCACUGGGGUAGCGGCCAUGACUUCUCAGGUGGCACGUACAGUACCAGCUGGUAGGAACUACAUUUUGGACUACUUUACUACGCUUGCUGUAAUCAGUUUUUCCUCCCUUUGUAGACUUUUCCAUUUGCAUUCGUGACGGGAGAAUGGAGGAGAUGGAAUGUCCUUGUGCUGAAUUUAGUAAAGGUUCUUGUGCUGAAUUUAGUAAAACAGAGACCACCAGAGGAAGUGAUGAGAGACUGGCAAUGAUGUACUGAAUGAGCAUGGUGGAAAGACAACAUAGUCAAAUGGGGGUUUGUCAUAAGCCUAACUUGUGCACAGCCUGCUUUGAUAGAGAGCCUACAGGAUAUUUUCAUCUAUGUGACCUUACCGCCUGUAUACCUUGUACACUAAAUAUUUUUAAAAACAAUGUAGGAAGAAAUACCCUAAAUAUGGGAGUAAAAUUGAAGCUGUCAGAAACAUUUAUAACUAAAAAAGUAUUUGAUAAUAUAAUAGCAAUUCUGACAUGAUUAAAAUCAAGGUAGAUACUUAAGAGCGGAAAGCAUUUUAAGUUAACUGUUUACUUCUUUCGAUGUAGGACACAGUGGAGAAUUGUUAACAUGCUUCUUGAAUUUGGAAUAUUAGAAACCGAUGCGUCUUUGAAAUUUAUUUAUAAUGUGAACAGUAUUGGAUAUAAAGGCAACGUCCAUGCUAAGAUAUUGACAUCUUAUUUUUAUAUAACUUUGAACCAGCUAUAAUGAGUCAACCAUGGCUACAUCUUGUAUCUACUAAUUUACAGGACAUAAGGCAAUAUCUAUAAUGUUAAGUUUGUUUUUGAAUCAAAAUAUAUCAGGUGAACAAGAGUAAAAA